rnacentral:rRNA from 1 species
UACGUAGGGGGCGAGCGUUGUCCGGAUUCAUUGGGCGUAAAGAGCCCGUAGGCGGCUUGGCAAGUCGGAUGUGAAAACUCCAGGCUCAACCUGGAGCCGCCAUUCGAUACUGCUAUGGCUAGAGUCCGGUAGGGGAGUGUGGAAUUCCCGGUGUAGCGGUGAAAUGCGCAGAUAUCGGGAGGAACACCGAUGGCGAAGGCAGCGCUCUGGGCCGGUACUGACGCUGAGGAGCGAAAGCGUGGGGAGCGAACAGG